CUGCAACGGACGUUCCGGGCUCAGCUGGUCCCUCCUGAGAUACGAGGGCUUGAUGCCCCUGCUCAAUCAGCGCGACGGGAGCAGUAGCAGAGCCGCCCCUGGAGCAAGCCCCUGUUCCUUAGGCACGACGGGAGCGGUAGCAGAGCCGCCCCUGGCCCCUGGAGAAGGCGCCUUUCGCUUGUCUUUGGAGCCUUUUUUGUCCUUGGAAGCCUUUUUGUGCUUCCUUCGCUUAAGUGGGGGAGGCGCAGGUGCGGGAAUGGUCGCUGCAGCCCACUCCCCAAGGCAUACUGAAGGCGUCACAGAGUCCUCCGAAAGGGAGGGAGAAACCCCCCCUUCGGGGCGGGAAGAAACAUCCGCCAUGCAGGAUCUCAAGGUUAACCACCGCGGGAGGGGAGCCGCAGGCGGCUGGCACGGACCAAUAGCCCGUUCAAGUUCUGUUCUCAGAGCAGCUAGAGCUGGACGCUACCCUGACCGAAACGGCUCAAGAUAGAGGAGCAAUAGCAGAGAAAUAACUCAGGUGGUGCCUGCGUGUGCCUGGAAGCGGCUUUUCCUGGGACGCUUUGGGGGCUUUGCAAAGGGCGACUCCACCCCACAACCGCCCCCAGCAGCUUUGCCCACCCCUUGUGCUGCUUUGCUGCUGCUGCUGCUCACCUAGCAAGGAGUUCCGCCGGUCAAGCGCUCCCCCAUCUCGUGAAGGUCUCUGCUCUUCAUCAACAGCACGGAGCGAAGCAUGGAGUGUUUGGGACUGGGCAGCUGCCUGCCUCUCCCCCCCCCCACCUGAAAUGCAGAAAAAAAACUUGCUGCCCUCUAAGGAGGUACACCUUAAGGCUUCCUGCAUGUGGAAAAUGUGCAUUGCAAAACAAUGUGUGUUUUGAUUCUGUGACUUUUAUUUAUUUAACAUUUAUAUACCAACCAAAACCUGUGUUUCUGGACAGUGUACAGUAAAAACAUUACAAAUUAAACAACUGAAAUGAUUAAAACAUUAAAAUAAUUUUAAACCCAA